rnacentral:lncRNA from 1 species
CCAGCCAGUCCUAACCUUUUAGGCAACCCAAAUGAUGUCGUUUUGCAGCAUUCAAUCCCCACCCUUCAUCUCAUUCAAUCUAACAGACUGGAACUCUUUUGCCUUUACCAUAAAAUUGUCCAAAAAUUCUCCAAAACCUAGAGACAACACUUCAUUUCCCCUCUUCUUCAUCUUUAAACUAACCCGAGUCACCAAUAUUCCUAAACCACCUUUGGUUGGCGGCCACCACACUAAACCACCCCAAACCCUUCACCCCACAAUCUCCAUUUCCUCCUCAUCCUAUAUCCUCUGUUAAUCUUCUCCAAAGCACCUUAAAAUUGCCUGAUUUUAAAAUCUAAAAUGGCUAUUGACAAGCAAGACUUUCGCAAACCGGUCCUCUAGCUUUCUUUAAACUAAAACCUUUUACUCUUCAUGGAUUUCUGACUUGCGAGGUAUUUGCCAGACGAAGCAUCGAAAAAAUACUCGUUCGCCAAAAAUGCUAGGCAAAUUGAAGAAGUGGAUUCAAGAAGCUUCUUGUCUUAAUUUCUGGUUUGAUUUUUAGACGUCCUCUCCUCUUUUGGAAUGUUUGGUUCUAGUAGGUAAUCUUUUAUUUUACCUUUUCUAACUUUCUCUAUUUAUUUACAAUUCAACAAUUUAGUUCUAUUUUUUAGUUUUGCAUGUGUUCGAGUUGCUUUAGAUAUUGCCUUAAAAAAGCAUUUAAUUCUUUUUUAUUUGUUGCGUGGAUUUCCAAAUUCAUGGUUCAUUUUUUUAAAGAAAAAAGCAAUUGAUAGGUUGUGGACUCUAGACUGAGCUAGUCCAAUCCGGUGUAGGUUUAAAAGCUAACUACUGGAAGCCCACUGCAGAAAGUUAAUAAAAACAAACAAAAGGAAUUUGUAAUUAUCUGGAGUUUAGAGGGUAUUGAGGGAUUUUAACUUGACAAACCUUUUCAGUUACAACAAUAAUAAGCUUCUAGAGGAAAGAAAAGGGUUGUCUCUGUAAAAAGAAACAAAAAACGGCUCUAUUUUGGGGACCUAGGAGUCAAACACAAAAUUUUAAAGGGUAGGAAUGAAUUAGGAAAAUCAAGUAUUGUUGCCCUAAAUUCCUGCUAUAAAAGUCUCGUUCACUCAUUUGUUUAGAGAUCUUGGACAUAAAAGUCACGGUUGCUAGAAAUUAGGUUUUCUUUGAAAUAUAAAGUUCAAUAGUGGUUUAAAACAGUCAAAAUCAGAGAUAUAGUCAAAUAAAUAAAGAAAGAUUAAAAGCUGGUACUAAUCUAUUGGGAUUCUUGCAUAAUUUCUGGGUUAAAAAGCUGGUGUGAUUUGAGAAAAUUUUUUGGUUCCAUUGCUGCUUAUGCUAUGUUGUUUAAGCUUGGUUGAGCUCCAGAUUUUAUUAUUUUGACCUUUAUUUGGUCUUCUUUCUGCUAUUCUUCUUUUUUCUUCCUUGAGGUAUGUGACUGCACUUUUAUAUUUAUCUAUUGAAUAAAAUUUCUUGUUUAAUCCAUGUUUGAAUAUAUGUAUUUGUUUGUGAUAAGUAUUAGAUUUUGACUACAUGUGUUAGUUUUUCCAUAUUUGUUCCCAUAUGUCCUAAAUUAUUGUUUUUUAUUGUUUAUGCCAUAAUUUGGUUUGAUCCAGUAUGUUGUUCAUAAUUCUUUGUUUCUUAGUCUUCGAUGUUAUUCAUAGUGAUGUUGUCUUUGCUGAGUGAUAUAUAUUUGAGAGAUGAUAUUUUAGGUUGAAGCGAUACAAAGGACGUAAAUCUGACUACCAAUUGGUCAGAUUCACUCCUGAAAAGCAUGAGUGCAAUUAAUUUUGGCUACAAAAGGUUGAAGUGUGUUGGUUCUAGUGCUAGAAGUAGCAUCUAAUUCUAUGGUUGAUUAAGAAUAAAUCAAAGUUGAAGGUUGUAAUGGAUAAAGUCGUGUUUUGUUGAUGUAAUUGGAUAUAUUUUGUUUAAGCUAUGAUUGUAAUGACCCGACCGGUCAUUUUGAGUUUUUACACCUGGCUCGUCAAUUCUCAGGCAUGACUUGCCCGUAUGAUGUAUUAUGACUUGUGUAAAUUGUUGGUUUUGAUUUUCAGGAUAAUCGAAAUCAAUUUGGAAGAACAUGUCUCAGUUUGAAGCUUGAAAUUUGAAAAGUUUGACAAAGAUUUGACUUGUUAGUAUAUGAUAUCUAAUCGGAAAUUUUAUGAUGUGGUUAGCUCCGUUAGGUGAUUUGGACUUAGGAGCGUGAUCGGAAUGCAUUUUAGAAGUAUGUGGAAGAUUUAGGCUUGAAUUGGCAAAAUUGAGAUUUUGGCGUUUUUCGUUUGAUAGGCGAGAUUUUAAUACAGGGGUCGGAAUGGAAUUCCGGAAAUUACAGUAGCUCCGUUCUGUCAUUUGUGACGCAUGUGCAAAAUUUCUAGAUAAGUUGAGUUGAGAUCCCGUUAUUUUGGGUCAAUUUCAUGGGUUGCAUUUAGGUUGCUUAAUGGGUCAAAUAGACUAUAAAAAAUAAUGUAUUAACUUGGGUUCAACCAAAAUAGAUCACUAAAAAUUGCACGGAGUGACCUACUUGGUCGUCCCAUUUGACUAUAUCUUUUUUUAAAAAGUUUUAACCUGCACCCCACUUUUUAAAUAAAUUCAAAUAUCUUUCCCCCUUCUCCUCCUCCUUCUCAUUCUUCUUUGAGUGACAAUGGUUUUAUAUUGUGGUUGUAAAUAUAUUUAAUGUAGUUUAUGAUAUUUUACAGUGAUGAGCUGAUAUGACAUUUUAUUUUAUAUGAUUUCUUAGGUUUCUUCUUCUUUUUUUCUUAAUUGUAAAAUGGAUUCAUUAGAUUUAUUAUUCUUUUAAUAAAGUAACUAGU